CUGCUAGUAGCAUGCAUGUCUAAGUAUAAGCAAUUAUACCGUGAAACUGCGAAUGGCUCAUUAAAUCAGUAUCGUUUAUUUGAUAGUACCUUACUACUUGGAUAACCGUGGUAAUUCUAGAGCUAAUACAUGCUAAAACCCCAACUUCGGGAGGGGUGUAUUUAUUAGAUAAAAAACCAAUGCCCUUCGGGGCUCCUUGGUGAUUCAUGAUAACUUCUCAGAUCGCAUAGCCUUGUGCUGGCGACGGUUCAUUCAAAUUUCUGCCCUAUCAACUUUCGAUGGUAAGGUAUUGGCUUACCAUGGUUUCAACGGGUAACGGGGAAUUAGGGUUCGAUUCCGGAGAGGGAGCGUGAGAAACGGCUACCACAUCCAAGGAAGGCAGCAGGCGCGCAAAUUACCCAAUUCCGAUACGGAGAGGUAGUGACAAUAAAUACUGAUACAGGGCUCUUUUGGGUCUUGUAAUUGGAAUGAGUACAAUUUAAACCUCUUAACGAGGAACAAUUGGAGGGCAAGUCUGGUGCCAGCAGCCGCGGUAAUUCCAGCUCCAAUAGCGUAUAUUAAAGUUGUUGCAGUUAAAAAGCUCGUAGUUGAACCUUUGGCCUGGCUGGCAGGUCCGCCUCACCGCGUGCACUUGUCCGGCCGGGCCUUUUCUUCUGGAGAACCGCAUGCCCUUCACUGGGUGUGUUGGGGACCAGGACUUUUACUUUGAAAAAAUUAGAGUGUUCAAAGCAGGCCUUUGCUCGAAUACGUUAGCAUGGAAUAAUAGAAUAGGACGUGCGGUCCUAUUUUGUUGGUUUCUAGGACCGCCGUAAUGAUUAAUAGGGACAGUCGGGGGCAUCAGUAUUCAAUUGUCAGAGGUGAAAUUCUUGGAUUUAUUGAAGACUAACUACUGCGAAAGCAUUUGCCAAGGAUGUUUUCAUUAAUCAGUGAACGAAAGUUAGGGGAUCGAAGACGAUCAGAUACCGUCGUAGUCUUAACCAUAAACUAUGCCGACUAGGGAUCGGGCGGUGUUUCUAUUGUGACCCGCUCGGCACCUUACGAGAAAUCAAAGUGUUUGGGUUCUGGAGGAGUAUGCCCCG
rnacentral:rRNA from 1 species